rnacentral:piRNA from 1 species
UGGCCGCAAGUGCACUUAUAAAGUCG